GCACUAGAUUAAUACCUUCUGUGAUACCUGCCCAGUGGAGUAUCAAAAAUUACAUACAUAUAUAAAAAGUACAGUAAUACAUAUAUCUAAUUAAUAUAUAAAAAAAUAUUCUAAACGGCGGACUUAGCGUGAGGUUUUUAAUGUAGCAUAAUAAGUUGCCCUUUAAUUGAGGGAGAGUAUGAAUGGUAACACGAAAGUUACACUGUCUUAAAAUUAUAUAGAUUUAAAUUAAAAUAAUAGUUAAGAUGCUAUUUAAAAUUGUAAGACAAAAAGACCCUAUAGAGCUUAACUGUAAUUUAAUAAUAAAUGUUUGAUUGUCAGUUUAGUUGGGGCAACUACCAUCUACUAAGAAAGAUGUGUGAGCAAUAUUAAUAUAAUUUAAGUUUAUUAUAUAAUAUAUAUAUUUAAUAAUUGCUGAUGGCAUGCUAUAAUGACCCAUAGAUAUUAUAAAAUAAAAUCUAUGAUUAAGAAAUAAAAGCUACCUUAGGGAUAACAGAACUAUUUUCCCAAACAGUACGAAUGGACGGGGAAGUUUGUUACCUCGAUGUUGAAUUAAGGGAUCCUGGCGGGGUAGGUGUUGCCAAGGGUAGGACUGUUCGUCCUUUAAAGCCUU
rnacentral:rRNA from 1 species